UAAAACAUUCUAUAGUUAUAGUAAAGGCGAUCGAAAUAUCUUUUGGAGUAAUAUUUAUAGUACCGCAAGGGAACAGUGAAAUAAAAAUGAAAUAACUAUAAAGCACCUGAUAGUAGAGAUUUCCCCUCGUACCUUUUGCAUCAUGAUUUAACUAGUUUAUUCAAGCAAAAAGCACUAAAGUUUGCCCCCCCGAAACUAAGCGAGCUACUUCGAGGCAGUCUCAAGAACUAACCCGUCUCUGUUGCAAAAGAGUGGGAAGACCUUCAAGUAGAGGUGACAGACCUAACGAGCUUAGUGAUAGCUGGUUACUUAAGAAAAGGAUCUUAGUCCUCCCCAAAUUUUUUACAAUAUUUAUAAAUAAAAACUAAAAUUUGGAGUUAUUCAAAUAAGGUACAGCCUAUUUGAAUCAGGAUACAACCUCCUCAAACGGGUAAUUAAAUCCAUAAACAGCAAAGUAGGCCUAAAAGCAGCCAUCUUCAAAAAGCGUCAAAGCUUAUCUUCAAAUUUUCAUAAUCCCCCUAAUUUUUUAAACCCCUUAAUCUUUAUUAAGUAACUCUAUAAAAUUAUAGUAUUUAUUAUGUUAAAACUAGUAACAAGAAUCAGAACUUCUCUUUAAUGUAAGUGUAAAUCAGAAUGGACAAACCACUGAUUUUUAACACUUGAAACCAAAGUAACAACCCACCAAGAAAAUCUUACCUCAAAUAGUGUUAACCUGACACAAGAACAUUCUCAGACAGAUUGAAAGGAAAAGAAGGAACUCGGCAAACAUUAACCCC
rnacentral:rRNA from 1 species